ACAGAUUUUGGUGACUGCGCUCCUCCAAGCCAGUUACCCGGUUAGAUAAUCUGCCAGGAUUAGCUAACCUUCGAAAAACCACCUGCCAGGGUGGUUUUUUCGU
rnacentral:antisense_RNA from 1 species